rnacentral:pre_miRNA from 1 species
CUAGUACUCCCUCCGUCCAAAAAUACUUGUCCGAGGAAUGGAUGUAUCUAGAUGUAUUUUAGUUCUAGAUACAUCCAUUUGUAUCCAUUUCUACGACAAGUAUUUCCGGACGGAGGCAGUAUUAG